rnacentral:lncRNA from 1 species
GGCCAGAGCGCGCGGGGCGUUGAGGAAGUUCCCUAAGAGUCCUCGUAACCCCCCACCCCAACAAUGAGUCUUUGCGAGGAGGUGGAUCGCGAGGCAGCCGGGUGAGCACGUGCAACGAAGCCCAGCCCUGUGGGCGGGGCCCUGGAGGCGGGGCUUGAAGGUACUCACGUGGGCCUCUCCCUGCCGCUGCGGGACAAAUUGGACCGGAGAUUAAAGGACCGGAGUUUAACUCGAGGUGACUGCGUUCGUAUGCAAAUGGAAUAUAUAAAACUCUUCUUUCCGGGGUAGUCUUUAAAGACUUUUUACCUCCGGGUGGGCGGCAAAGACUAAAGUUUCCCCUCCUCCCCUUUCAUUUUCCCCCUGCCCAUAGAACAGAUGGGCAAACUAAGCUCCGGGCCAUUGGGGCUAUUAAAGAAAGCCCUAGGCUCUUGACCCCAGGUGUCUUGAAACCUUCCGUUUAAGAGGGAUCCCUUGCCCAGCCUUGUUUGCCUUCCCCUUUCCUCAGUUUCCCUAUCUGUAAAAGGGGGUUGGAAUAAGGACAGGAUCAAGUUGGAAGAUCGCAAACCCCUGCCCCUCCCACCUCAGUUUCCCGAAGCUUUCCGGAAGCAAAAUCCCGAAUUUUGCAGCGGCUCCCGGCCGAAUCCACCCGCUGCGGCCACCAGGUGGCGCGCGGCCACCGGUCACUAGGCCCGCCGGGGUGUCCGUCUUCGGCGACCCCAUCGGGAAAGGAUUUCGCUGCUGCCGCCAAGGGUCUAAGGCCUACCUGGCCCACUUGAAGACAAAGAACGAGAACGUUGGUGCUUUGCCCACUUCUGCUCUGCCGGAUUAUGCUGCAGCUUCCUCGGUGGCCGCUCAUUCGCCCUCUCCUGCCCCACCCGCCCCACCAAUCCCUUAGCCCUUUUAUUUUUUUUUUGCCUAAUUUUAAGUCCUCGUCCUGGCAUUCGCAUCCCUGCUUGGCCUGACCCUUGCCCACAUUUCGCACCAUACCCCGUCCCUCACCUGCUACGAAAGUUGCAACGCUUCUCUGCACUUGGGGGCAACUGGACCUUACCAACCCUGGUGAAACUGUAUUUCAUACGUAAUCUGGGAGACUUACAUUAACGCUCUGCCGUCUAAACCUCAUACCUGCUCUAUGAGAUAGCAACAAUAUUGUCCCUUUCCAGCACUGAUGAAGUCCACCAGAAGUGAUGGGGAUUCCAGCUCCAUUCUGUCACACACCAGAACCUUAAUCCUUGGCUCCUUCAAGCUGGAACGCGGCUGACUUCACCUGACCCACUCCCAAACUCCUAUUCAUCUUUCAAGAUCCUGUUCAAAUGUUUCUUCAGUGGCAUCUUCCUUAAUACCUUCCACCGAGGGACAACUAGAUCCCCUCUGCUAGGUAGCAGUGUUUCAGGAGCUAAACCCUGUGACUAAGAGAGGACGGCCUGCCAUUCCCUCAGCUGUGGGUUCUAAAAUACUUUAGGACCUUGCUGGGCGCCGUGGUUCAUGCCUGUAAUCCCCACACUUUGGGAGACUGAGGCGGGCGGAUCACCUGAAGUCAGGAGUUCGAGACCAGCCUGACCAAUAUGGAGAAAACCCGUCUCUACUAAAAAUACAAAAUUAGCCAGGCGUGGUGGCGCAUGCCAGUAAUCCCAGCUACUCAGGAGGCUGGGGCAGGAGAAUCGUUUGAACCCAGGAGGCGGAGACUGCGGUAAGCCGAGAUGGCGCAAUUGCACUCCAGCCUGGGCAACAAGAGCAAAACUCCGUCUCAAAAAAAAAAAGAAAGAAAAAAAAAGUCAGGACCAUCUGGCCUUUCUCAGGAAUCUACCUUUUUGUCACAGGUUCUGGUGGUAGUGAGUUCUCUGUCCCUGGAGAUGCCAUCAGAGCCUAAGUGGCACUGCAGAAACGUGCAGCCCUGGAGUUUUGGUAGUUGAUGAAGAUUCUAAGUCAACCCUCUUUAGAUGGGCAGAAGAGUUCAGCCAAAUGCUCAGCCCCUGGAAACAACUCCUCCAGUCCUUCAGACUACAGCUCUGUUGUCCCUUCCUUCCAUAAACCUUCCCACACCUCCCUGACUAGUCACAUCCCUUUAUUCUCACUCAUAACCCCAACUGCUGAGUACAGAUCUGGCACAUAGUAGGCUCUCAAUAAUUGCUGACUGGGUGAAAGAAUGGAUAAAAACAGCUAACCUUAGGUGAGUGACUUCUGAGCCUCUAUUUCCUGUCUUCUAAGGGGAUGGGUAAUAAUGAUAGUUGCUACCUAGCAGGAAUGCUAUGAGAAUUAAACGAUGCUUGCAAAGCAAUUAAAGGUCUGGCCUAAUAAAUGGAACCUCUUACUAAU